GACGUAGGGCGCGAGCGUUGUCCGGAUUUAUUGGGCGUAAAGAGCUCGUAGGCGGCUUGUCGCGUCGAAUGUGAAAACUCGGGGCUCAACCCCGGGCCUGCAGUCGAUACGGGCAGACUAGAGUGCGGUAGGGGAGACUGGAAUUCCUGGUGUAGCGGUGAAAUGCGCAGAUAUCAGGAGGAACACCGGUGGCGAAGGCGGGUCUCUGGGCCGUAACUGACGCUGAGGAGCGAAAGCGUGGGGAGCGAACAGG
rnacentral:rRNA from 1 species